rnacentral:lncRNA from 1 species
UGGGAUUUAAAGCAACGAUUUCAAGCUGCCACGGGUCUGAACAAGUUGAGGAAAUGCUGUGUGCACCUUAGGCAGCUCACGACAGGGCGCAGGAGAGAUGAUCACCAAUGGGCUAAUGCGUAUUCUGCCAGACCUCUUCCAUCUUGGGCCUGGCGAUUUUGGAAUGCUGUGGACGUUGACAGUCGUUACAACUUUCUUCAGAAUAUGUGCGUAUGCUGCUUUCCUCUGGAGAUCUGUCCUUGCUGUAAAAGCAGAAGUAGGAGGACCUUCCUGAUUCCUGGGAACACCCAGCAUGCUGAACCCAGUGGGGUGCCCAUGCAUGGGUGCUGGACCAGGUGCACCUCCUCUGGCGUGGUCACCUACGAUGCCUCAGCCUGCACUACAUGAGGCAGGAUCUGCAGCCGGGAGCUUCUUCGUGCCAAAGGAGGAGGAAGGCCAGGAGAGCGAGGGCAAGGAUUGGGAUUUUUUUGGAUAUUUUUCAAAGAAUUACACCCAAGCAUUUCAUGCAUGCCCACACUUAAAUCCCCAGCUUGUCGUUAUUACUGCCUACCUGCAAAUUGCUCUAUUGGCCAUUUACUGCUGGAAGAAGCUCUU